rnacentral:rRNA from 1 species
CAUCUAAGUACCCCGAGGAAAAGAAAUCAACCGAGAUUCCCCCAGUAGCGGCGAGCGAACGGGGAGCAGCCCAGAGCCUGAAUCAGUAUGUGUGUUAGUGGAAGCGUCUGGAAAGGCGCGCGAUACAGGGUGACAGCCCCGUACACAAAAAUGCACAUGCUGUGAGCUCGAUGAGUAGGGCGGGACACGUGGUAUCCUGUCUGAAUAUGGGGGGACCAUCCUCCAAGGCUAAAUACUCCUGACUGACCGAUAGUGAACCAGUACCGUGAGGGAAAGGCGAAAAGAACCCCGGCGAGGGGAGUGAAAAAGAACCUGAAACCGUGUACGUACAAGCAGUGGGAGCACGCUUAGGCGUGUGACUGCGUACCUUUUGUAUAAUGGGUCAGCGACUUAUAUUCUGUAGCAAGGUUAACCGAAUAGGGGAGCCGAAGGGAAACCGAGUCUUAACUGGGCGUUAAGUUGCAGGGUAUAGACCCGAAACCCGGUGAUCUAGCCAUGGGCAGGUUGAAGGUUGGGUAACACUAACUGGAGGACCGAACCGACUAAUGUUGAAAAAUUAGCGGAUGACUUGUGGCUGGGGGUGAAAGGCCAAUCAAACCGGGAGAUAGCUGGUUCUCCCCGAAAGCUAUUUAGGUAGCGCCUCGUGAAUUCAUCUCCGGGGGUAGAGCACUGUUUCGGCAAGGGGGUCAUCCCGACUUACCAACCCGAUGCAAACUGCGAAUACCGGAGAAUGUUAUCACGGGAGACACACGGCGGGUGCUAACGUCCGUCGUGAAGAGGGAAACAACCCAGACCGCCAGCUAAGGUCCCAAAGUCAUGGUUAAGUGGGAAACGAUGUGGGAAGGCCCAGACAGCCAGGAUGUUGGCUUAGAAGCAGCCAUCAUUUAAAGAAAGCGUAAUAGCUCACUGGUCGAGUCGGCCUGCGCGGAAGAUGUAACGGGGCUAAACCAUGCACCGAAGCUGCGGCAGCGACGCUGAUGCGUUGUUG